rnacentral:rRNA from 1 species
UACGUAGGGGCCAAGCGUUAUCCGGAUUUACUGGGCGUAAAGAGCAUGUAGGUGGUCUAUUAAGUCGGACGUGAAAGCUCCUGGCUCAACUGGGAGAGGUCGUUCGAAACUAAUAGACUUGAGGAUGGUAGAGGAGAGCGGAAUUCCAGGUGUAGCGGUGAAAUGCGUAGAUAUCUGGAGGAACACCAGUGGCGAAAGCGGCUCUCUGGCCCAUUCCUGACACUGAGAUGCGAAAGCCAGGGGAGAGAACGGG